rnacentral:rRNA from 1 species
GACAGAGGAUGCAAGCGUUAUCCGGAAUGAUUGGGCGUAAAGCGUCUGUAGGUGGCUUUUUAAGUCCGCCGUCAAAUCCCAGGGCUCAACCCUGGACAGGCGGUGGAAACUACCAAGCUGGAGUACGGUAGGGGGCAGAGGGAAUUUCCGGUGGAGCGGUGAAAAUGCGUAGAGAUCGGAAAGAACACCAACGGCGAAAGCACUCUGCUGGGCCACACUGACAUGAGAGACGAAAGCUAGGGGGAGCGAAUGGG